CCUACGGGUGGCAGCAGUGGGGAAUAUUGGGCAAUGGGCGCAAGCCUGACCCAGCAACGCCGCGUGAAGGAAGAAGGCUUUCGGGUUGUAAACUUCUUUUCUCAGGGACGAAGAAAGUGACGGUACCUGAGGAAUAAGCCACGGCUAACUACGUGCCAGCAGCCGCGGUAAUACGUAGGAGGCAAGCGUUAUCCGGAUUUACUGGGUGUAAAGGGCGUGUAGGCGGGACUGCAAGUCAGAUGUGAAAACCACGGGCUCAACCUGUGGACUGCAUUUGAAACUGUAGUUCUAGAGUGCUGGAGAGGCAGAUGGAAUUCCUAGUGUAGCGGUGAAAUGCGUAGAUAUUAGGAGGAACACCAGUGGCGAAGGCGGUCUGCUGGAAAGCAACUGACGCUGAGGCGCGAAAGCGUGGGGAGCAAACAGGAUUAGAUACCCUGGUAGUC
rnacentral:rRNA from 1 species